GAUGGACUAUAAAUAAAAGCCCCCAUCCCUCCCACUAUAACACCUGGGUUUUAUGGUCGGGUUGGCUAGGUGGGGCGCGCUAACUUGGUACCAGAGCCGAGGUCCUGGGUUCGAUCCCUCCCGGCCACGCAUUUCCGCUGCGCGAUUUCCCUGGCUGCGUUCGCUGAGACCGAAGUGCUGAGACCGGACAGGUGGCACAGCCCCGCGGCUCGCCCGGCUCGCAUGCAGUAGGGGGAAUGUUGGACUGAGGAUAAAAACCUCCACUCCUCCCACUAUAAUACUUGAGUUUUAUGGUCGAGUUGGCUAGCUGGGGCGCUCUAACUGAAAGAAACUAAAAUUUGCAUGCAGCGGUCGACGACGGCUUUGAGAGUUCAGGCACCUGUGUGCUUACGUGUAUACGUACCGUGGCGGUAGCAGAUAGGAAAUUACAAUCCAGAAAUUAACCAUCGACGCGCAAUUGUCCUUUCACAAACAGACUUGCAUUUGCACAAGUUAUCAAAAUUUGGCAUAUAAUGAUGUCGGAGUGUGCAUAGAAAAUUACAAUCCUUGCGGACGACGGCACAGUAAGUCGUGAACCGUCCUGCUGUGGCAAAACUAGCUCAUUAUUCAUUUUCAGAGCGGCGUCAGGGCCGUGAAUCUAU